AAUAUUUCAGUAUAUAAAUAUAUAAUCCAUUCGAAUAUUUUCUGAUUUCAAGUGCUCAGGUGCUCUUAAUGAGGGAAAAAGUGAUCUACCAUACUCUCAUGUGAUCUGCCAUACUCUUAUCUGUUUUCAUACUCUUAGAGAAUGUGGUUAAUAUCUAAAAUACCCCUGACCGAUUUAAUGAAUAAAUUAAUCGACUAUCCACUCUCUCUCUCCUC
rnacentral:lncRNA from 1 species